rnacentral:rRNA from 1 species
ACCUGCCUUCAGGAUGGGGACAACAGACGGAAACGGACUGCUAAUACCGAAUAAGUUCCAAGAGCCGCAUGGCCCAUGGAAGGAAAAGGUGGCCUCUACCUGUAAGCUAUCGCCUGAAGAGGGGUUUGCGUCUGAUUAGCUGGUUGGAGGGGUAACGGCCCACCAAGGCGGCGAUCAGUAGCCGGUCUGAGAGGAUGAACGGCCACACUGGAACUGAGACACGGUCCAGACUCCUACGGGAGGCAGCAUG